ACCAUCAUUAAGAGCUUUAGUGUUACUGUCUCUGGUGAGUAUCAUCUCUUCAUUCAGUGCAUGUUUCCUUUUAUUUUAGAAUACAGUUCAAUAUUUUUUGGUCCACUAAAUGAGAAAGUGGAUUGAUCUUUACAAACAAUGCCAGAUGGCACCAUUUAUCAGUUAAAAUCAAGCAACACUGAUGAUCCAGGUACAAAAAGUGUAAAUAUCGGUCAACAAUUUUGAUAUAAUUGAUCAGUCAAUUCUGUCUGUCUUUCUGUCAGUCAACGAUGUUUCAGAUUCAGGAUCAUCUUCAGCUGCCGCUGUCGUUGUUGUUGUUGUUGUUGUUGUUGUUGUUGUUGUUCUUCUUCUUCUGCUCGUUGCUGCUGUAGUUUUCUACAAACGCAAAGCAAUAAUGAAAUGCAUCAGGAGGAAGCGCAGUGAUCCGAUAGAUGAUGCUCAAGACACAUCCCCUGAACAGACUGAAACUCUAAUGAAGACGGCUUCUAAUGGGACAUCGCAUAAUAAGACUGAGGCUGCUGAUGAGACACAACUGUAACAUUAUUUAUUAUUUUAUUGAAAGGCAAAUUUAAGA